rnacentral:rRNA from 1 species
CCUACGGGGGGCAGCAGUGGGGAAUAUUGGACAAUGGGCGAAAGCCUGAUCCAGCCAUGCCGCGUGUGUGAAGAAGGCCUUCGGGUUGUAAAGCACUUUCAGUGGGGAAGAAAGCCUUGGGGCUAAUACCCUCGAGGAAGGACAUCACCCACAGAAGAAGCACCGGCUAACUCCGUGCCAGCAGCCGCGGUAAUACGGAGGGUGCGAGCGUUAAUCGGAAUUACUGGGCGUAAAGCGCGCGUAGGCGGUCUGAUAAGCCGGUUGUGAAAGCCCCGGGCUCAACCUGGGAACGGCAUCCGGAACUGUCAGGCUAGAGUGCAGGAGAGGAAGGUAGAAUUCCCGGAGUAGCGGUGAAAUGCGUAGAGAUCGGGAGGAAUACCAGUGGCGAAGGCAGCCUUCUGGACUGACACUGACGCUGAGGUGCGAAAGCGUGGGUAGCAAACAGGAUUAGAUACCCGGGUAGUC